rnacentral:miRNA from 1 species
CAAAUUGAUACAUUAUGAUGU